rnacentral:rRNA from 1 species
AUCAGAAGUGCGAAUGCUGACGUGAGUAACGACAAUGCGAGUGAAAAACUCGCACGCUGAAAGACCAAGGGUUCCAGUCCAACGUUAAUCGGGGCUGGGUGAGUCGACCCCUAAGGCGAGGCCGAGAGGCGUAGUCGAUGGGAAAUUGGUUAAUAUUCCAAUACUUCUGUGUAAUGCGAUGAGAGGACGGAGAAGGUUAAGUCAGCCUGGCGUUGGUUGUCCAGGUGGAAGGUUGUAGGCAUGUAUCUUAGGCAAAUCCGGGGUACUCUAUGCUGA